AAGCAUUUGCAGCAUGUUAUCUCAUUAUGUUUUCAGUCUUUGCCUGUACGGUACUGCAGCUUUUCCUAGAUUCAUACAGCACCGAUGGCAGCAGCAGAUUUUUCCAGAACCAGGGGACCAGCUAGUGCCAGAGGCUUAUUUCUCAUCUUCUCUCUGCUGUGCCUCAUUUCAGUCUCAACUUCCCUGUAUACCGAAGAACAACUGAUGCUUGAGUACAUGAAAACAGCGAUAAAAGAGGCAGAAAGAUGGACGGCAGAAAACAAGUAUAGAAAGGAAACAAUCACAAAACUGUUUGAUCUCUCAAGUUCACUGAAUAACAAGGAGCCACUGAAACUAUUCAAGGAAACCGUGCACAAAGGAAUAAAAGAAGAACAAAGGGUAAAGGCACAAUUCAUGUACAGAAUAGCAACAUUAGGUUUUGAGGAAAUGUUGGAGAACUACGCUCAUCCGCUUGAAAUAGUGACGAGAUUAUUGCCUGAUUGCAAACCACUGAAGGAAAUCGUUAACAUCUGUUCGCACAUGAUGAAGAAUUUAAGAACUUUAAUAAACAAGAAGAUGAGUUUGCUGCAAAAAUAGAGAGCUGGGUGCAACGAGGAGCUUGUCCUCCAUGAAGUUAUUCAUAUGUAACUUUACUAAAUUAAUUUGGCACAAUGUUGUAGUAAACAGAGAAUGUCUUUUGCUUUACUGAUAUUGACCAAUAAUUCAUUAAUGUUCGAUUAUAUUUUUAAACAUUAUACAUGUGUAUGUAAUUUGUAUGUAACUGUAUCAUAUGAAGAUUUUCUCUUGCGCUUUCUUCGUCAAACCCUAAAGUUAAAAUAAAUCAGAGCUGAUGCUUCUUGUACAAACUGUAGCAUCCUCCCCCGCCCACUUACAAUGGAGACGAUGACUGUCUUUCUUUGCUUCCUAACUUUUCUUGAACUUGUUCUUGAAAUUAAUUUUGAAGUUUAUGGUUCCUAUAAAAUAUAAAACUGCAAAAAAUUUUGUACAAAGCCAGACACAGUACCAGGAAAUGUACAGAGGAUGAAUUGAGGGGAAAAUUAAAUCUGAAGACUCUUAAAGAACGGACAAGGGUUAAAACCUUUUGUUUUACCAUUUGUGAGGUAAAACUGUGGAACAGUUUUCCUGUGGACCUACAGCAAUGUUCAAGCAUUAGUCAGUUCACAAAGAUGUUUCGAAAACUGCUUUUGAAAGAAUAUGAAAGUAAUAAAGUUGUAGACUUUUAGUCAAGACCGCCUAAACCAAGACCAAGACAAUACCAAGAUUAGAGGGUAUCGAGACCAAGACAAGACCAAGACCAAGACAGAGACAAAAAGGUCUUUAAACUGCAGCCAGAUGCUGCUUUGUUUACAGGUGUCAGGCAUAUUUAUGUGUUUUUGCGAUGCACUCGCACAGCUCUCCUCACCGCUGUCUACUGUCUCACUCACUUACUGAGAGGACAGACGCACGCUCCACUUGACUGUCGCGUCUCUCACCCUCUCUGUUUUUCACAUAAUGAUAUUAUCCUAUAUCCUCGCAUGUGAUUGGCCACAAUAUGGAGGGAUUGGAGCAUAGCUGAGCCACUGUGUGAGAGCUGAGCAGCGAAAGGAAAUUAAGUGAGGAGCCGGCUCUCGCUCAAUGGGAGUCGACUCUCCUGAUUCACUACAAAGCACUCUCUAAGCACGGCUCUUAGAGCUGAUGCUUUUGUGCAUGACACAUUAUCCAACGUUACGUUGUGUCAUGGAUACUGUUGACUCCAAAUCUCCCGACCACUAUGUCGAUCUGAGACAGCAAGACCGAGACAGCGAGACCAAGACAAGACCAAGACCGCGUAAAAGUUGUCUUGAGACCGGUCUCGAGACCAAGAUCGGUCUUGAUGCAUCCAACUCUAUAAAGUUGAUGACCGAUUGUAGAUAUAACUAUGCUAAAUUGCAUCUAAAUUAUAUCUAUCACUGUAUCUAUGUUUAUACAUGUCCUUCAUUCCUUGUUUAUUGUGUGGGGUAAGUGAUGGGACACAAACUUGAAUAAAAAAGCAGUGAAAUAAGGUCGUAGUAAUGAGUAAUAUUACAAACUAACCACCUGCUAUUACCAGUUUUAAUUCACCUUUUACAUAAAUAAAUAGUUUUGUACAUAUGCAAGUGUAAUUUCAAACUAAAUUUCUGUUAUUACUUCAUUUCAAGUGCAGCACCACCACUGUUUGUUUGUUUGUUUGUUUGUUUUACCAAAGAAAACAAUAAUUGUCUGUGAGGAAAGAACUCACUGGUGGAUCCUCACCUGUCUGCUUUUGGCUCAAACCUCUUCUCUCAUGUAAUAAAACUUGUGAACCUGCUUCCCCUCUCAGUGUCUGCCUUGUGCCAGUUUUGACUGUUGCAAAGAAGUGAACUUAAAUCUAAUCUACAACAGCAAAGAUGUACACAGUCUUUCUCCUGUGGGAGAAGUAUUAUGUCUGUGUUAAAUAUACAAGUUGUGGCCAUUUUCACAAGAUUUGAUUGUUUAAAAUUCACAUGGACAAAGUAAGGAUUCUGGGGGACACGAGGUGUGCUCCAGCAAAUAUUUCCUCUGUGGUCCCAUUUAAGAUGGGUUUAAACAUGAAGAGUGUGAGAUGGCAAAAGCAAAGACAUUCUGUACUUAAUCAGAAGUACAGAUAUUAGUGGCAAAACCACUCCAGUAAAAGUAGCUCUUUGGAGGAUUUUUCUACCAGCUAUUUUUGUGCAAAGCUAAUUGAACCUUGUGCUAUAUUAAUGUAUCAUUAAAGUAACAUUAAUACUUAAGAAAAUUACCUUUACUUCUUUAAAUUUUAAUUCUCAUAAAUAUACUCGGCUUGAAUCAGUUUGGUAGAACAUGAGCAGAGAAAAAGACGAAAGAU
ensembl:lncRNA